rnacentral:rRNA from 1 species
UACAGAGGGGGCAAGCGUUGUUCGGAAUUACUGGGCGUAAAGGGCUCGUAGGUGGUCAACUAAGUCGGACGUGAAAUCCCUCGGCUUAACCGGGGAACUGCGUCCGAUACUGGAUGACUUGAGUUCGGGAGAGGGAUGCGGAAUUCCAGGUGUAGCGGUGAAAUGCGUAGAUAUCUGGAGGAACACCGGUGGCGAAGGCGGCAUCCUGGACCGACACUGACGCUGAGGAGCGAAAGCCAGGGGAGCAAACGGG